CCGAAGCCUGUGGUCGUUUGAUCACUAGGCAAUGUGGUGUUCAGGUCGUUCCGCAGAGGUACUGCUCCAUCCUAAGUCCAUUAAUGAGUACGGCUUUCUGGACGUGGCCCGCAGGGGGUGACAGGCCCGUGGGGGUGGAGUCUCGGCAGGCCAGUAUCUCUCUGGGUAGACCUUGGAGUCGGGUUGUUUGUGAAUGCAGCCCAAAGUGGGUGGUAAACUCCAUCCAAGGCUAAAUACAAGCACGAGUCCGAUAGCGAACAAGUACCGUGAGGGAAAGUUGAAAAGUACUUUGAAGAGAGAGUAAACAGUGCGUGAAACCGCUCAGAGGUAAACGGGUGGAGUUGAACUGCAAUCUCUGUGGAUUCAGCUGGUGAGUAUGGUUUGGGCUUGGCCAAAUGGGUUGAGCUGCGGGGUCUGCUUAUUCGCAGGUCUUUGUCUUCGGGCAGGGAUGCACGAUGCACCUACCAUGUGCUGUGCGCCUCGUGGUUUCGAAUCUGCUCGCUAGUGCACUUUCGCAGGGUGUUCACCACGACCGGCAUUGCUGUCUGGCUAUUGUGGUUAAACCGGUCUUGCAUUGUCCUUGUGGCUUUGCUUGGUCGGGACGGCAGGUAGCUCGUUGGUUGUUCGUAGCUUGCUGCGUUCGGCCUCGGGUGUAAUCAGCUGACUUCAAUGGUUCUGUGCAGUAUGUCGGGGACGGCGGCUUGUUGUGUGUGCGUGCGUGCCGGUCUCAUGGGCGUGCUCGGGUAUGACUGUCAUGUUGCUUGCGUAAGCAGGCCUGGUGGUUGCUCGGGUUUGUUCUGUGGGUGGUUGCGUGCGUGGCACUAUACAGGGCCAAUAGUCUGUGGUGUAGUGGUAGACGAUCCACCCGACCCGUCUUGAAACACGGACCAAGGAGAGUAACAUGUGCGCGAGUCAUGGGCGAAACGAAACCCAAAGGCGCAGUGAAAUUAAGGCUUGGCUUUGUCCUUGCUGAGGUGAGAUCCUGUCGUUUCUCAUGCGUGGUACUACCAAGCAUCGAGCGGUGGGCGCAUCACCGGCCCGUCUCA
rnacentral:rRNA from 1 species